UGAGUAACCUGCCCUUAACUCUGGGAUAAGCCUGGGAAACUGGGUCUAAUACCGGAUAUGACUCCUCAUCGCAUGGGUGGGGGGUGGAAAGCUUUUUGUGGUUUUGGAUGGACUCGUGGCCUAUCAGCUUGUUGGUGAGGUAAUGGCUCACCAAGGCGACGACGGGUAGCCGGCCUGAGAGGGUGACCGGCCACACUGGGACUGAGACACGGCCCAGACCUCCGUACGGGAGGCAG
rnacentral:rRNA from 1 species